CCUAUGGGCGGCAGCAGUGAGGAAUAUUGGUCAAUGGGCGCGAGCCUGAACCAGCCAAGUAGCGUGAAGGAUGACUGCCCUACGGGUUGUAAACUUCUUUUAUAAAGGAAUAAAGUGAGGCACGUGUGCCUUUUUGUAUGUACUUUAUGAAUAAGGAUCGGCUAACUCCGUGCCAGCAGCCGCGGUAAUACGGAGGAUCCGAGCGUUAUCCGGAUUUAUUGGGUUGAAAGGGAGCGUAGAUGGGUUGUUAAGUCAGUUGUGAAGGUUUGCGGCUCAACCGUAAAAUUGCAAUUGAUACUGGCAGUCUUGAGUACAGUUGAGGUAGGCGGAAUUCGUGGUGUAGCGGUGAAAUGCUUAGAUAUCACGAAGAACUCCGAUUGCGAAGGCAGCUUACUAAACUGCCACUGACAUUGAUGCUCGAAAGUGGGGGUAUCAAACAGGAUUAGAUACCCCAGUAGUC
rnacentral:rRNA from 1 species